rnacentral:rRNA from 1 species
AAUGAACGCUGGCGGCAGGCCUAAAACAUGCAAGUCGAACGCCCUAGCAAUAGGGAGUGGCGCACGGGUGAGUAACACGUGGGAAUAUGCCUUUUGGUACGGAACAACGUCUGGAAACGGACGCUAAUGCCGUAUGGUCCCUUCGGGGUAAAGAUUUAUCGCCAAAAGAUUAGCCCGCGUCUGAUUAGCUAGUUGGUGAGGUAAUGGCUCACCAAGGCGACGAUCAGUAGCUGGUCUGAGAGGACGAUAAGCCACACAGGGACUGAGACACGGCCCAGACUCCUACGGGAGGCAGCAGUGAGGAAUAUUGGACAAUGGACGCAAGUCUGUGCCAGCCAUGCCGCGUGAGUGAUGAAGGCCUUCGGGUUGUAAAGCUCUUUAGUCCACGAUUAUAGUGACUGUAGUGGAAGAAUAAGCCCCGGCUAACUUCGUGCCAGCCGCCGCCGUAAGAC